GCUCCAGUGGCGCAAUCGGUUAGCGCGCGGUACUUAUAAUGCCGAGGUCGUGAGUUCGAGCCUCACCUGGGGCA